rnacentral:rRNA from 1 species
AUUGAACGCUGGCGGCAGGCCUAACACAUGCAAGUCGAGCGAGCGGCGGACGGGUGAGUAAGGUCUGGGAAACUGCCUGAUGGAGGGGGAUAACUACUGGAAACGGUAGCUAAUACCGCAUACCAUCAGAUGUGCCCAGAUGGGAUUAGCUAGUAGGUGGGGUAACGGCUCACCUAGGCGACGAUCCCUACCUGGUCUUAGAGGAUGACCAGCCACCCUGGACCUGAGACACGGUCGAGACUCCUACGGGAGGCAGCAGUGGGGAAUAUUGCACAAUGGGCGCAAGCCUGAUGCAGCCAUGCCGCGUGUGUGAAGAAGGCCUUCGGGUCGUAAAGCACUUUCAGCGGGGAGGCGUUAACCGCAGAAGAAGCCCAGGCUAACUCCGUGCCAGCAGCCGCGGUAAUAC